CAACUCACCUAGCAGGGAAAUACCAUGAUCAUGAAGGUGGUUUUACCAGGGUGAGGCUUAUCCAUUAUACUCUGGAUGUGCUGACCUCUGUGAUUUCCUCAAAUGUGAGAAAUUCAACUGCAUAAUCUGUAGUAGUGGAGAACUGUGUUUGUGAUUUCCC
rnacentral:snRNA from 1 species